rnacentral:rRNA from 1 species
GCCUAAAAAUGAAUGAAUGAAUGAAUGAAUGAAUGCUCAUCUGAUCUCGGAAGCUAAGCAGGUUCGAGCCUGGUUAGUACUUGGAUGGGAGACCACCUAGGAAGACCAGGUGCUGUAGGUG